UCGACGAGGAUUUAGCGGAAUGCGAUUCGUCAAAUGAAAUUAAAUCCGACUGGCGGACGGGUGAGUAACGCGUGGAUAACCUGCCUCACACAGGGGGACAACAGCCGGAAACGGCUGCUAAUACCGCAUAACAUGAGCAGCCCGCAUGGGCAGCUCACCAAAGAUUUUAUCGGUGUGAGAUGGAUCCGCGUCUGAUUAGCCAGUUGGCGGGGUAACGGCCCACCAAAGCGACGAUCAGUAGCCGACCUGAGAGGGUGACCGGCCACAUUGGGACUGAGACACGGCCCAAACUCCUACGGGAGGCAGCAGUGGGGAAUAUUGCACAAUGGGCGAAAGCCUGAUGCAGCGACGCCGCGUGAAGGAUGAAGUAUUUCGGUAUGUAAACUUCUAUCAGCAGGGAAGAAAAUGACGGUACCUGACUAAGAAGCCCCGGCUAACUACGUGCCAGCAGCCGCGGUAAUACGUAGGGGGCAAGCGUUAUCCGGAUUUACUGGGUGUAAAGGGAGCGUAGAUGGCAUGGCAAGUCUGAAGUGAAAGCCCGGGGCUUAACCCCGGGACUGCUUUGGAAACUGUUAAGCUAGAGUGCAGGAGAGGUAAGCGGAAUUCCUAGUGUAGCGGUGAAAUGCGUAGAUAUUAGGAGGAACAUCGGUGGCGAAGGCGGCUUACUGGGCCUUUACUGACGCUGAGGCUCGAAAGCGUGGGGAGCAAACAGGAUUAGAUACCCUGGUAGUCCACGCCGUAA
rnacentral:rRNA from 1 species